GACGAACGCUGGCGGCGUGCUUAACACAUGCAAGUCGAACGGAAAGGCCCUGCUUGCAGGGUACUCGCGUGGCGAACGGGUGAGUGACACGUGGGUGAUCCGCCCUCCACUUUGGGGUAAGCCUGGGAGACUGGGUCUAUUACCGGAUAGGGGCCAUUCUUCGUGUGUGGGUUGGUAAGUUUUUUGGGUGUAGGAUGAGCUCGCGGCCUGUCAGCUUGGUGGUGGGGUAAUGGCCUACCAAGGCGGCGACGGGUAGCCGGCCUGGGAGGGUGGACGGCCACAUUGGGACUGAGAGACGGCCCAGACUCCUACGGGAGGCAGCAGGGGGGAAGAUUGCACAAUGGGCGCAAGCCUGAUGCAGCGACGCCGCGGGGGGGAAGACGGCCUUCGGGUUGUAAACUCGCUUCGCUAGGGACGAAGCUUUUUGUGACGGUACCUAGAGAAGAAGCACCGGCUAACUACGUG
rnacentral:rRNA from 1 species